GAAACAUCUAAGUACCCGGAGGAAAGGAAAUCAAUAUGAUACUCCCCUAGUAGCGGCGAGCGAACGGGGACCAGCCGAGCCAUGAGUGUGGUUAGAAUGCGUUGGAAUGCGCAACCAGAGUGGGUGAUAGUCCCGUAUAAGAAGCAUGAUUGGACGUAUUAAGUAGGGCGGAACACGUGAAAUUCUGUCUGAAGAUCGGGGGACCACCCCCGAAGGCUAAGUACUCCUUACUGACCGAUAGCGAACCAGUACCG
rnacentral:rRNA from 1 species